GAUGAACGCUAGCUACAGGCUUAACACAUGCAAGUCGAGGGGCAGCAUGGUCUUAGCUUGCUAAGGCCGAUGGCGACCGGCGCACGGGUGAGUAACACGUAUCCAACCUGCCGUCUACUCUUGGACAGCCUUCUGAAAGGAAGAUUAAUACAAGAUGGCAUCAUGAGUCCACAUGUUCACAUGAUUAAAGGUAUUCCGGUAGACGAUGGGGAUGCGUUCCAUUAGAUAGUAGGCGGGGUAACGGCCCACCUAGUCUUCGAUGGAUAGGGGUUCUGAGAGGAAGGUCCCCCACAUUGGAACUGAGACACGGUCCAAACUCCUACGGGAGGCAGCAGUGAGGAAUAUUGGCCAAUGGGCGAGAGCCUGAACCAGCCAAGUAGCGUGAAGGAUGACUGCCCUAUGGGUUGUAAACUUCUUUUAUAAAGGAAUAAAGUCGGGUAUGCAUACCCGUUUGCAUGUACUUUAUGAAUAAGGAUCGGCUAACUCCGUGCCAGCAGCCGCGGUAAUACGGAGGAUCCGAGCGUUAUCCGGAUUUAUUGGGUUUAAAGGGAGCGUAGAUGGAUGUUUAAGUCAGUUGUGAAAGUUUGCGGCUCAACCGUAAAAUUGCAGUUGAUACUGGAUAUCUUGAGUGCAGUUGAGGCAGGCGGAAUUCGUGGUGUAGCGGUGAAAUGCUUAGAUAUCACGAAGAACUCCGAUUGCGAAGGCAGCCUGCUAAGCUGCAACUGACAUUGAGGCUCGAAAGUGUGGGUAUCAAACAGGAUUAGAUACCCUGGUAGUCCACACGGUAAACGAUGAAUACUCGCUGUUUGCGAUAUACAGCAAGCGGCCAAGCGAAAGCGUUAAGUAUUCCACCUGGGGAGUACGCCGGCAACGGUGAAACUCAAAGGAAUUGACGGGGGCCCGCACAAGCGGAGGAACAUGUGGUUUAAUUCGAUGAUACGCGAGGAACCUUACCCGGGCUUAAAUUGCAGAUGAAUUACGGUGAAAGCCGUAAGCCGCAAGGCAUCUGUGAAGGUGCUGCAUGGUUGUCGUCAGCUCGUGCCGUGAGGUGUCGGCCUAAGUGCCAUAACGAGCGCAACCCUUGUUGUCAGUUACUAACAGGUUCUGCUGAGGACUCUGACAAGACUGCCAUCGUAAGAUGUGAGGAAGGUGGGGAUGACGUCAAAUCAGCACGGCCCUUACGUCCGGGGCUACACACGUGUUACAAUGGGGGGGUACAGAGGGCCGCUACCACGCGAGUGGAUGCCAAUCCCAAAAACCUCUCUCAGUUCGGACUGGAGUCUGCAACCCGACUCCACGAAGCUGGAUUCGCUAGUAAUCGCGCAUCAGCCACGGCGCGGUGAAUACGUUCCCGGGCCUUGUACACACCGCCCGUCAAGCCAUGGGAGCCGGGGGUACCUGAAGUGCGUAACCGCGAGGAGCGCCCUAGGGUAAAACUGGUGACUGGGGCU
rnacentral:rRNA from 1 species